GCUCCUGGAGGAUUUCCAAGCACAGCGCCAUACAUUGUAUAGUGGCCAUGCUUGGUAAUGCAGCUCAGCCCCAUUCACUUCUAUGGGGCUGAGCUGUGCCUAGGACAUGUGACCAAUGAACGCGACAUCGCUGGCCUAGGAAGAGCUGGCGUCUUGGGUGUCGGACCCCCACCGAUCAGAUACGGAUGACCUAUCCAGAAGAUAGGUCAUCAAUAUAAAUUCCUGGAUGAAGAGAUUCAUUCAGAAGGGUUCCCCCAAAUAUACACUAGGAUCAGCAGUAAUCUAGCAGCAAGCGUUUAAUUCCUCUAGCGCCUCCGCAGGGGAAAUGAGGCAUUACACAGAUGUCAUUGAAAUCAAUAGGCCGUCUGUGUAAUGUGGACACGCUGGGUCCUCCAGAAUAUAUCUGGGCGUUUAUACCAAUCCCCUACAUCCCUCGCAGCAUUCUUCAACAUUCCUAACACUGCUUAGUGCAUUUGUUCGGGAUUUCACUGGAUUAUCGUAGGUCAAAUCAAAGUAUUUAAGGGUUUUGGGGGGGAGGGGGGGGGGGUAUGGAAUGAGAGAAGAUCAGUAAAGGCCGGCUUAUUGCCGUAAACCCCCCUCUCUCUCUCUACUGGAGACAUUUUCACUUAAAGGAACCCUAAAGCCGUCAGAUGGGGGUCUCGUAUCGUUCACACUUGUGUAAAUAGUUCCAGCAAUUGUAGUAAUGAUGGGGAUAAAGAGUGGAAUUUGAUGAAUGUAUGAAUUAAGUCUAGAGGCAACGGGGGUUUAUUAAAGAUAAAUACUCCUGCCUGUGGAGGUCCCGGACUUCGAGGGGUCGUCUACUCUGGACAAUUCCCUUUGGUUAGAAGCUGAUCACAGGAGGUUCCGCUGCAGACACUCCCUUUGAUCGGCAGUAAUCGUCUCCGUUCCCUGAAGCGCCACCGCAGGAGAAACGCAGCAUUACACAGCUGCCAUAUUGAAGGGGCUGUCCAUGUAAUGCACGGUCCUCCAGAGCCCUACUACCAAGUCCCUAAGUGUGAAUUUCAGGGUCUUCUAAACCGUAUGACUCUUUAAUACGAAGAUUAGGGGGUCUCUUCAUCAUACAGGAUGAAGAAAAGCCCUUCUAUGAAAAUGGAAGACGAUGAAGGAAUUUUUGAAUUCCCCCCAUGGCUUUAACAAGCUACCAACCACCUCUGCUGCUCCGAUAACAGGACUGAAUUCUUUACAGGGACUGUGCGAGAUUAGGAUCAGCGCCCCUCUGGACAUGGCGACGAGACAACCCAGAUAAAGGGGUGUUCCAUAUCUACCCGAUAGCUGAUGGCGGUCUCUGGAGAAAGACGUGGGUCACACCUCUGGGACCGGCUCUAUCAGAAAUGUAUGGCAAGUAUGCCCAACAUAGGAACAGCCCUUUAAAGAAUUGCUGUUUGUGCAGUUUUCUACUAGAUGCUCUAAAACGACCCAAAGUAGAGGCGUCUUAUGAUAUAUUAGAACAACAAGUGACUACGAGCUCCUUGUUCUUUAACGAAUAAAGAAACGUUCAUUGUAAUCACCGGCUGCAAAGAACUAAGAAAAUAAUCUGCAACAUAACCGCUCUGCUACCCCCAUUAUAAUCGGAUGUGAUGGACCUGACUCACUACUACCCCCAUUAUAAUCGGAUGUGAUGGACCUGAUUCACCACUACCCCCAUUAUAACCAGACGUGAUGGACCUGACUCACUACUACCCCCAUUAUAACCAGACGUGAUGAACCUGACUCACCACUACCUCCAUUAUAACCAGACGUGAUGAACCUGACUCACUACUACCUCCAUUAUAAUCAGAUGUGAUGGACCCGACUCACUACUACCCCCAUUAUAACCAGACGUGAUGGACCUGACUCACUACUACCCCCAUUAUAACCAGACGUGAUGAACCUGACUCACCACUACCUCCAUUAUAACCAGACGUGAUGAACCUGACUCACUACUACCUCCAUUAUAAUCGGAUGUGAUGGACCUGAUUCACCACUACCCCCAUUAUAACCAGACGUGAUGGACCUGACUCACUACUACCCCCAUUAUAACCAGACGUGAUGAACCUGACUCACCACUACCUCCAUUAUAACCAGACGUGAUGAACCUGACUCACUACUACCUCCAUUAUAAUCAGAUGUGAUGGACCCGACUCACUACUACCCCCAUUAUAACCAGACGUGAUGGACCUGACUCACUACUACCCCCAUUAUAACCAGACGUGAUGAACCUGACUCACCACUACCUCCAUUAUAACCAGACGUGAUGAACCUGACUCACUACUACCUCCAUUAUAAUCAGACGUGAUGGACCUGACUCGCUACUACCUCCAUUAUAACCAGACGUGAUGGACCCGACUCACUACUACCUCCA